UACGUAGGGGGCUAGCGUUGUCCGGAUUUAUUGGGCGUAAAGAGCUCGUAGGCGGUCUGUCGCGUCGGCUGUGAAAACUCGGGGCUCAACCCCGAGCCUGCAGUCGAUACGGGCAGACUAGAGUGCUGUAGGGGAGACUGGAAUUCCUGGUGUAGCGGUGAAAUGCGCAGAUAUCAGGAGGAACACCGGUGGCGAAGGCGGUUCUCUGGGCAUGUCCUGACGCUGAGGAGCGAAAGUGUGGGGAGCGAACAGG
rnacentral:rRNA from 1 species